rnacentral:rRNA from 1 species
GGCGAACGGGUGAGUAAUGUAUCGGAACGUACCAUUGAGUGGGGGAUAACGUAGCGAAAGUUACGCUAAUACCGCAUAUACCCUGAGGGGGAAAGCAGGGGAUCGCAAGACCUUGUGCUCUUUGAGCGGCCGAUAUCAGAUUAGCUAGUUGGUGAGGUAAAGGCUCACCAAGGCGACGAUCUGUAGCGGGUCUGAGAGGAUGAUCCGCCACACUGGAACUGAGACACGGUCCAGACUCCUACGGGAGGCAGCAGUGGGGAAUUUUGGACAAUGGGGGCAACCCUGAUCCAGCCAUGCCGCGUGAGUGAAGAAGGCCUUCGGGUUGUAAAGCUCUUUCGGCCGGGAGGAAAUCGCAUCAGUUAAUACCUGGUGUGGAUGACAGUACCGGAAUAAGAAGCACCGGCUAACUACGUGCCAGCAGCCGCGGUAAUACGUAGGGUGCGAGCGUUAAUCGGAAUUACUGGGCGUAAAGCGUGCGCAGGCGGUUUUUUAAGACAGGCGUGAAAUCCCCGGGCUCAACCUGGGAACUGCGCUUGUGACUGGAAGGCUAGAGUAUGGCAGAGGGGGGGUGGAAUUCCACGUGUAGCAGUGAAAUGCGUAGAGAUGUGGAGGAACACCGAUGGCGAAGGCAGCCCCCUGGGCCAAUACUGACGCUCAUGCACGAAAGCGUGGGGAGCGAACAGGAUUAGAUACCCUGGUAGUCCACGCCGUAAACGAUGCUCACUCGCUGUAUGCGAUACACAGUAUGCGGCCAAGCGAAAGCAUUAAGUGAGCCACCUGGGGAGUACGAUCGCAAGGUUGAAACUCAAAGGAAUUGACGGGGGCCCGCACAAGCGGAGAACCAUGGUGGUUUAAUUCGAUGAUACGGCGAGGAACCUUACCUGGGCUUAAAUGUAGAGCGACAGCUUGUGAGAGCAGCUUUCUUCGGACGAUCUACAGUCCUGCAUGGUGUCGUCAGCUCGUGCGGGAGAGGGUGUUCGGGUUAAGUCCAUACGAGCGCAGCCCUUAUCGUAGUUGCAGCGGUCAGCGGGACUCUAGCGG